rnacentral:rRNA from 1 species
CUACGGGGGGCAGCAGUGGGGAAUCUUAGACAAUGGGCGCAAGCCUGAUCUAGCCAUGCCGCGUGAGUGAAGAAGGCCCUAGGGUCGUAAAGCUCUUUCACCAGGGAUGAUAAUGACAGUACCUGGAGAAGAAACCCCGGCUAACUCCGUGCCAGCAGCCGCGGUAAUACGGAGGGGGUUAGCGUUGUUCGGAAUUACUGGGCGUAAAGGGCGUGUAGGCGGCCUACUAAGUCAGAGGUGAAAUCCCCGGGCUCAACCUGGGAACGGCCUUUGAUACUGGCGGGCUAGAGUCCGGGAGAGGGUAGUGGAAUUCCCAGUGUAGAGGUGAAAUUCGUAGAUAUUGGGAAGAACACCAGUGGCGAAGGCGGCUACCUGGGCCGGAACUGACGCUGAGGCGCGAAAGCGUGGGGAGCAAACAGGAUUAGAUACCCGUGUAGUC